UACGGAGGAUGCGAGCGUUAUCCGGAUUCAUUGGGUUUAAAGGGUACGUAGGUGGCCUUAUAAGUCAGUGGUGAAAACCUGUCGCUUAACGAUAGGCGUGCCAUUGAUACUGUUUGGCUUGAGUACAGUUGAGGUAGGUGGAAUGUGUAGUGUAGCGGUGAAAUGCAUAGAUAUUACACAGAACUCCGAUUGCGAAGGCAUCUUACUAAGCUGAGACUGACACUGAUGUACGAAAGCGUGGGGAUCGAACAGGAUUAGAUACCCUGGUAGUCCACGCCGUAAACGAUGCUCACUGGCUGUAUGCGAUAUAUUGUAUGUGGCCAAGCGAAAGCGCUAAGUGAGCCACCUGGGGAGUACGCCGGCAACGGUGAA
rnacentral:rRNA from 1 species